AGUCGGGUCCUAAGCUGAGGCCGACAGGCGUAGGCGAUGGAUAACAGGUUGAUAUUCCUGUACCACCUAUAAUCGUUUUAAUCGAUGGGGGGACGCAGUAGGAUAGGCGAAGCGUGCGAUUGGAUUGCACGUCUAAGCAGUAAGGCUGAGUAUUAGGCAAAUCCGGUACUCGUUAAGGCUGAGCUGUGAUGGGGAGAAGACAUUGUGUCUUCGAGUCGUUGAUUUCACACUGCCGAGAAAAGCCUCUAGAUAGAAAAUAGGUGCCCGUACCGCAAACCGACACAGGUAGUCAAGAUGAGAAUUCUAAGGUGAGCGAGCGAACUCUCGUUAAGGAACUCGGCAAAAUGACCCCGUAACUUCGGGAGAAGGGGUGCUCUUUAGGGUUAACGCCCAGAAGAGCCGCAGUGAAUAGGCCCAAGCGACUGUUUAUCAAAAACACAGGUCUCUGCUAAACCGUAAGGUGAUGUAUAGGGGCUGACGCCUGCCCGGUGCUGGAAGGUUAAGAGGAGUGGUUAGCUUCUGCGAAGCUACGAAUCGAAGCCCCAGUAAACGGCGGCCGUAACUAUAACGGUCCUAAGGUAGCGAAAUUCCUUGUCGGGUAAGUUCCGACCCGCACGAAAGGCGUAACGAUUUGGGCACUGUCUCAACGAGAGACUCGGUGAAAUCAUAGUACCUGUGAAGAUGCAGGUUACCCGCGACAGGACGGAAAGACCCCGUGGAGCUUUACUGUAGCCUGAUAUUGAAAUUCGGCACAGCUUGUACAGGAUAGGUAGGAGCCUUUGAAACGUGAGCGCUAGCUUACGUGGAGGCGCUGGUGGG
rnacentral:rRNA from 1 species